rnacentral:lncRNA from 1 species
AGAUGAGCUGACAGACCCUGGCUGAGCAGGAAGUGGCAGGGUCAGGAAAAGCUAGGCCACAAGUUUUCCCUUGAGAGCCUUAGAGUCUAGCCCUGUCGCCCAGGCUGGAGUGCCAUGGUUUGAACUCUACUCACCGCAACCUCCACCUCCCAGGUUCAAAUGAUUCUCCUGCCUCAGCCUCCUGAAUAUCUGGGAUUACAGGCCAAAGAUUAUUAAUGCAUGAUGUGUAACAAUUUCAGGCAAAGCCUAGGAAGAGAGAGAAUGCCGAAAGACUUCUAAUGUAUGGAGUUUAAACAUCAGAUGGUGAUUGAUUGCUAUUAAUUUAUGUCAGCAAAGGAGGAGAAGAAAUACGUAAAACUGCCUCUGAAGAAUUUACAUUAAACACCAAAAGAAUCUGACUCUGAAAAUGAAGAAACAAGGAAUAUUGUUUGUUUUGGGAAUCAAAAAAAAAAAAAACUUCCCAUUUGAGUACACAAUUUCCUAAACAAGAUACAUGAUAAUUCCAUACACUAUGCUUUCCGAAGAAACUUUGUAAAACGUAUUUUCAUUAUUCAAAACUUGAAAACACAGAAACAAUAUGAUGCAAAAAAUUAUCUUUAGCAUUAUUCCACUAAGAUAAUUCAUUUUAACAUCCAUAUAUUCAUUAUUAUGUAAAAUACCUAUCAGUAUGUGGGUAUAUCUUUGUGUGUAUAUUUUAACAAAACAAAAUUCAAUAAAAAUUGAAAUACAGAAAUGACAAAAACACACAAAAAAUAUAAAUUAUUUCCAUUGUAGCAUAUAUUACCUUUUUCACCUAACAUUAUACUGUAGGAAUAUAUUCUUUCAUCAUUCAAUGCUUUUGAAAAUAUAAUAAUAUUCCAUUUUAAGGACAUGCUAUAAUUUAGUUCAUUAGUUUUUAAACUUUUAGAUUAUCUCAUUUUGUCAUCAUUUAAAAAAAGUGUUCCUGGAUGUCCUUUUGCAUAGACUUUUGAAUGUAUUUCUGACUAUUUUCUUAACCUGUCCUGUACUUCUGCAAGUAGAACUGCUUGAGCAGAGAUUAGGAGCAAUUUUAAGGUUUUUCAAAAAUCUUGACAAACUAUUCUGCAGGAAAAAUGUAUCUUGUUACCAUCAGCAUUUUUAAGUAACUAGUGACUAAUUGUAAAAAUAAUUGUGUUUCCUUGUAUUUAAGCCUUGCGCUAUAGAUUUUAAAAAUUUGUCCUUUUUUUUUUUUCAUUUGUAAAAAAAAGCCAUCUAAAAGACCUUAGAACCUGGUAUCAGCUGAAGCUUACUAAACCAUAUCAAGAAGAUCAUGUCAUUCUCAAGAAAAGCAUGUUUCAAAUAAAAAGGAAAUGUCA